rnacentral:rRNA from 1 species
AAACUUAAAGGAAUUGACGGGGGCCCGCACAAGCAGCGGAGCAUGUGGUUUAAUUCGAAGCAACGCGAAGAACCUUACCCAGACUUGACAUCUCCUGAAUUAAUCGUAAUUGAUGAAAUCCCUUCGAGGACAGGAAGACAGGUGGUGCAUGGUUGUCGUCAGCUCGUGUCGUGAGAUGUUGGGUUAAGUCCCGCAACGAGCGCAACCCUUAUCAUUAGUUGCUAACAUUAAGUUGAGCACUCUAGUGAGACUGCCCGGGUUAACCGGGAGGAAGGUGGGGAUGACGUCAAAUCAUCAUGCCCCUUAUGUCUGGGGCUACACACGUGCUACAAUGGUGGGAACAGAGAGAUGCAAUACCGCAAGGUGGAGCCAAACUUCAAANCCCAUCCCAGUUCGGAUUGUAGGCUGAAACUCGCCUACAUGAAGCUGGAGCUGCUAGUAAUCGCGAAUCAGAAUGUCGCGGUGAAUACGUUCCCGGGCCUUGUACACGCCGCCCGUCACACCAUGAGAGUCGGCAACACCCGAAGCCCGUGAGGUAACCUUUUGGGACCAGCGGUCGAAGGUGGGGUUGAUAAUUGGGGUGAAGUCGUAACAAGGUAGCCGUAGGAG